rnacentral:rRNA from 1 species
UACGUAGGUGGCAAGCGUUGUCCGGAUUUACUGGGCGUAAAGGGCGUGCAGGCGGUUUGUUAAGUGCAGGGUGAAAGCUCCCGGCUCAACUGGGAGAGGUCCUUGCAUACUGGCAAACUCGAGGGAGGCAGAGGAAAGUGGAAUUCCGGGUGUAGUGGUGAAAUGCGUAGAUAUCGGGAGGAACACCAGUGGCGAAGGCGACUUCCUGGCCUGUUCUUGACGUUGAGGCGCGAAAGCUAGGGGAGCAAACGGG